GCUUCUGAUUUCACCGGGUUCGUCUAGUCUAUAUCAGCACUCUGUAAGCUGAGCUUUUUCCUUCAAAUCUACUGAAGACCCAUUUCGAAUUUUCGAUUUGCAAGAUUUCUUUUAUUCCACAAAGCCCCUAGUCUGAUCCCGCACUCUCACUUCCUAAAUAAUUUUUCGGUGGAUCCGCUGCCGGACAACAUGAUCGGCUAACUGGUACUCGUCUUGGGAAUCGGAACUUGCCUGGAUUACUAUCUCCAUAUUUUUGGGACAAAUCGAAGGCGAUAUGUGGUCAGAACAGGAUGAAACAUGCUUCUUUUGUAUAUAUGACCAUAUCAAAUCUGACUAUUGGUUGUGAGAAUGCAAAGACAACCACUGAAGUCCCCUUGCAAACCGCAGAUGGAGUUGGAUAGGAUUAGCAACUUACCGUGUCAUGUUGCA